rnacentral:rRNA from 1 species
GCAAGUCGAGCGAGAAAGCACUUCGGUGUGAGUACAGCGGCGUACGGGUAGUAACGCGAAGGAAUCUAACAAGUAGUGGGGGACAACAUGUGGAAACGCAUGCUAAUACCGCAUACGCCCGACGGGGGAAAGGAGGCUUAGGCUUUCGCUAUUUGAUGAGCCUGCGUAAGAUUAGCUUGUUGGUGAGGUAAAGGCUCACCAAGGCGACGAUCUUUAGCUGGUCUGAGAGGAUGAUC